rnacentral:rRNA from 1 species
AACGAACGCUGGCGGCAUGCCUAACACAUGCAAGUCGAACGAAGGCUUCGGCCUUAGUGGCGCACGGGUGCGUAACGCGUGGGAAUCUGCCCUUGGGUUCGGGAUAACAGUGAGAAAUUACUGCUAAUACCGGAUGAUGACUUCGGUCCAAAGAUUUAUCGCCCAGGGAUGAGCCCGCGUAGGAUUAGCUAGUUGGUGGGGUAAAGGCCUACCAAGGCGACGAUCCUUAGCUGGUCUGAGAGGAUGAUCAGCCACACUGGGACUGAGACACGGCCCAGAGUCCUACGGGAGGCAGCAGUGGGGAAUAUUGGACAAUGGGCGAAAGCCUGAUCCAGCAAUGCCGCGUGAGUGAUGAAGGCCUUAGGGUUGUAAAGCUCUUUUACCCGGGAAGAUAAUGACUGUACCGGGAGAAUAAGCUCCGGCUAACUCCGUGCCAGCAGCCGCCGUAAAAC